rnacentral:rRNA from 1 species
UGAGGAAUAUUGGUCAAUGGGCGAGAGCCUGAACCAGCCAAGUAGCGUGCAGGAUGACGGCCCUAUGGGUUGUAAACUGCUUUUAUGCGGGGAUAAAGUGAGGGACGUGUCCCUUAUUGUAGGUACCGCAUGAAUAAGGACCGGCUAAUUCCGUG